rnacentral:lncRNA from 1 species
GGCAUGUCCUGGCUGCUGUGGCUUCUUCAAAUACCAUUUUCCUGAUGGAGAGCUCUGGCUGGGGAUUGCCUCUCCCCCACAGUCAGGAUGGAUCUGCUCUGAUGGAUCUGCUCUUAAGUAAAGCUUUGCAAAAACUGACAAGUGGCACAUCAGAUCUCAUGAAUUUGGACCACUUCCAGGCCUGACAUCCAGAAACUCAUCCCUAUAGGUGGUAAAUAUAAACAGGCUGGUUGCAAAGGAGGAAGCAUGGUAAAGGCAGCAUCUUUCCAGG